CUCGGAGGAGGGGUGCGGGAGGGCCCGACCGGAGGCGAGGGGGCGCCCUCGGGGCGGGUGGGCGCGCACGUGCGCGUGCCCGAGGACUGAGUGAUGCGGCGGAUGCCUGCGCUGGGCCGCGCCGGCCGUCUCCAGCGCCAUUUGUCCCGUGCUGCUUCUCUGCAGAUUCAUAAUCCUGUUCUUGUGAGUGGCUGACCACAUUCUUCACUUCGUACUGUGGGAGCAGAGAGCCAGGAGGUCACCACUGAUCUGCCAUUUUCUCCUUCCACAUCAUUUAUUCUAAACAUCACAACAAUUCCCAGAGAGACUAACCUUGGUAUACCAUGGGACUGCACAAGGAUGUGACUACUAGGUAGCAGGCAGUGGGGAUCAUCCUGGAAGCCGGCUACCACACCCUCUGGCACCUGAACUGCCAUUCUAAUAUCUAUUUUAAAACUAAGGUUUUUAAGACUCCUUCAGCAGCAGAUGAUCUUUGAAAGAAGACAGUUUCUACCCAAGAGCUCUGGAUGAUGAAGACAGCUGCAUGAUAUGGACAGCUUUUUCUCAAACUUCCACUCAAGACCUACGAAACAAGUUCUAGAUGACUGUAGCUAUAGACUGUAAUUCUUUAAUUUGCAUGUUUUUAUUCAUUAUUUUUCUAGCCAUUUUAUUUUGUCUUUUCUGGUUAAAGUUCUGAAUUGUUAACAAACACACUUGUUAUUUCUUAACUAUGUUACUUAUGAGAUCUCUGUGAUCAAUACUGCUUUCCGUAUUCUUAUUCACUCUUAAGUGUAAGUCUAAUACCUGGAUACACUUUGUUCAUGAUUUGGAUUUGGGCAAAACAUGCAAUUGAACCAACUGCUGGGCUUGAAGUCAUUUUCAUCUGAAU